GACGAACGCUGGCGGCGUGCCUAAUACAUGCAAGUCGAACGAGAGCGACCGGUGCUUGCACUGGUCAAUCUAGUGGCGAACGGGUGAGUAACACGUGGGUAACCUGCCCAUCAGAGGGGGAUAACAUCCGGAAACGGAUGCUAAAACCGCAUAGGUCUUCGAGCCGCAUGGCUUGAAGAGGAAAAGAGGCGCAAGCUUCUGCUGAUGGAUGGACCCGCGGUGCAUUAGCUAGUUGGUGAGGUAACGGCUCACCAAGGCCGUGAUGCAUAGCCGACCUGAGAGGGUGAUCGGCCACAUUGGGACUGAGACACGGCCCAAACUCCUACGGGAGGCAGCAGUAGGGAAUCUUCCGCAAUGGACGCAAGUCUGACGGAGCAACGCCGCGUGAGUGAAGAAGGUGUUCGGAUCGUAAAACUCUGUUGUUGGAGAAGAACAAGUGCUAGAGUAACUGUUAGCGCCUUGACGGUAUCUAACCAGAAAGCCACGGCUAACUACGUG
rnacentral:rRNA from 1 species